AUUGAACGCUGGCGGCAGGCCUAACACAUGCAAGUCGAGCGAGCGGCGGACGGGUGAGUAAUGUAUGGGAAAGUGCCUGGUGGAGGGGGAUAACUACUGGAAACUGUUGCUACUUCCGCAUACCAUUGGACAGGCCGAGAUAGGAUUAGCGAGGGGGUGGGGUAAGGGCUCACCAAGGCAACGAUCCGUAGCUGGUCUGAGAGGAUGACCAGCAACACUGGAACUGAGACACGGCCCAGACUCCUACGGGAGGCAGCAGUGGGGAAUAUUGCACAAUGGGCGCAAGCCUGAUGCAGCCAUGCCGCGUGUAUGAAGAAGGCCUUCGGGUUGUAAAGUACUUUCAGCGGGGAGGCGUUACCCGCAGAAGAAGCACCGGCUAACUCCGUGCCAGCAGCCGCGGUAAUUC
rnacentral:rRNA from 1 species